AUUGAACGCUGGCGGCAGGCCUAACACAUGCAAGUCGAACGAGUGGCGGACGGGUGAGAAAUGUCUGGGAAACUGCCAGAUGGAGGGGGAGAACUACUGGAAACGGUAGCUAAUACCGCAUAACAUCAGAUGUGACCAGAUGGGAUUAGCUAGUAGGGGGGGUAACGGCUCACCUAGGCGACGCUCCCUAGCUGGUCUGAGAGGAUGACCAGCCACACUGGAACUGAGACACGGUCCAGACGCCUACGGGAGGCAGCAGGGGGGAAUAUGGCACAAUGGGCGCAAGCCUGAUGCAGCCAUGCCGCGUGUAUGAAGAAGGCCUUCGGGUUGUAAAGUACUUUCAGCGGGGAGGCGUUACCCGCAGAAGAAGCACCGGCUAACUCCGUGCCAGCCGCCGCGGUAAUUC
rnacentral:rRNA from 1 species